GACGAACGCUGGCGGCGUGCCUAAUACAUGCAAGUCGAGCGAAGCGGCGGAUGGGUGAGUAACGCGUGGGUAACCUGCCCUUAAGUCUGGGAUACCAUUUGGAAACGUCUUCUAAUACCGGAUACUAAAUGUUGGACCUGGGCUGCAGUAGCGAGUUGGUAAGGUAACGGCUUACCAAGGCGAUGAUGCGUAGCCGGGUUGAGAGGCUGAUCAGCCACACUGGAACUGAGACACGGGCCAGACUCCUACGGGAGGCAGCAGUAGGGAAUAUUCCACAAUGGGCGAAAGUCUGAUGGAGCAAUGCCGCGUGAGUGAAGAAGGUUUUCGGAUCGUAAAGCUCUGUUGUUGGUGAGGCGGUAAUCAACCAGAAAGUCACGGCUAACUACGUGCCAGCAGCCGCGGUAAUAC
rnacentral:rRNA from 1 species